CGUAGGUGGCAAGCGUUGUCCGGAAUUAUUGGGCGUAAAGCGCGCGCAGGUCGGUCUUUUAAGUCUGAUGUGAAAGCCCACGGCUCAACCGUGGAGGGUCAUUGGAAACUGGAAGACUUGAGUGCAGAAGAGGAUAGUGGAAUUCCACGUGUAAGCGGUGAAAUGCGUAGAGAUGGUGGAGGAACACCAGUGGCGAAGGCGACUCUCUGGUCUGUAACUGACGCUGAGGCGCGAAAGCGUGGGAGCAAACAGGAUU
rnacentral:rRNA from 1 species